rnacentral:rRNA from 1 species
UAAGGAAUAUUGGUCAAUGGACGGAAGUCUGAACCAGCCAUCCCGCGUGCAGGAAGAAGGUCCUAUGGAUUGUAAACUGCUUUUAGCAGAGACGAAGACCUUUCAUUUAUGAGAGAGUGACGGUAUCUGCGGAAUAAGCACCGGCUAACUCCGUGCCAGCAGCCGCGGUAAUACGGAGGGUGCAAGCGUUAUCCGGAAUCACUGGGUUUAAAGGGUGCGUAGGCGGGGGAUUAAGUCAGUGGUGAAAGCCUGUAGCUUAACUACAGAAUUGCCAUUGAUACUGAUUUUCUUGAAUUGGGUUGAGGUUAGCGGAAUGUGACAUGUAACGGUGAAAUGUUUAGAUAUGUCAUGGAACACCGAUUGCGAAGGCAGCUAGCUGGGCCUUGAUUGACGCUGAGGC